GAUGAAGAACGUAGCGAAGUGCGAUAAGUAAUGUGAAUUGCAGAAUUCAGUGAAUCAUCGAAUCUUUGAACGCACAUUGCGCCCGCCAGUAUUCUGGCGGGCAUGCCUGUUCGAGCGUCAUUUCAACCAUCAAGCCCCAGGCUUGUGUUGGGGACCUGCGGCUGCCGCAGGCCCUGAAAACCAGUGGCGGGCUCGCUGUCACACCGGGCGUAGUAGAUUUUAUCUCGCUCAGGGCGUGCUGCGGGUUCCGGCCGUUAAAAAGCCUUUUUUACCCAAGGUUGACCUCGGAUCAGGUAGGAAUACCCGCUGAACUUAAGCAUAUCAAUAAGCGGAGGA
rnacentral:misc_RNA from 1 species